UACGGAGGAUGCAAGCGUUAUCCGGAAUGAUUGGGCGUAAAGCGUCCGCAGGUGGCAAUGUAAGUCUGCUGUCAAAGCGUCUGGCUCAACCAGAUAAAGGCAGUGGAAACUACAUAGCUAGAGUAAGGUAGGGGUAGAGGGAAUUCCUGGUGUAGCGGUGAAAUGCGUAGAGAUCAGGAAGAACACCGGUGGCGAAAGCGCUCUGCUGGUCCUUAACUGACACUGAGGGACGAAAGCUAGGGGAGCGAAUGGG
rnacentral:rRNA from 1 species